rnacentral:rRNA from 1 species
CGUAGGGUGCAAGCGUUGUCCGGAAUUAUUGGGCGUAAAGAGCUCGUAGGCGGUUUGUCGCGUCGGCUGUGAAAACCUGGGGCUUAACUCCGGGCCUGCAGCCGAUACGGGCAGACUAGAGUUCGGCAGGGGAGACUGGAAUUCCUGGUGUAGCGGUGAAAUGCGCAGAUAUCAGGAGGAACACCGGUGGCGAAGGCGGGUCUCUGGGCCGAUACUGACGCUGAGGAGCGAAAGCGUGGGGAGCAAACAGG